GCGCCCCCCGCCCAGGGUCCCGGGUUUCCCCGAUUGGAUGCGGCCGGGGAAGGGGGUCCCCGAGGCCGGGACGGUGGGUGGAGCUCUGGCGCCCUCGCGUGGCCACCGGUGAGGACACCAUCGGAGACCCGGGGGUCGCUCUCGGGGCGGAGGAGGACCCAGUGGUGACCCCGGGACCUGAGACAGCCGCCCCUGCCCGGGCUUUCCUCCCCGGCCCUGCUCAGGGACCCCCGCCUCCAGCUGUCUACGGACGCCCCUGCAGGGACGGAGACGGAACCCAGCGCCCCUGCCCGCAUGCCACCCAGCCUGUGGUCUUCCUCGGCCAGCUGGACGCCCGGCCGUGUGACCACUGAGCAUCGGGCAGGAAUAACAAUGCAAAGAAAUGGAAGGUCACAGACCCGACGCGUUGCGGGGAACCGUUCUGAACCCAGAGUGGAAGGAGAACAGCUGUGGGAACAAACAGGUGGCCCGUGAGCCCCCGGGUCCCUGGGGCGAGAGGACCGCAGGCGGGCUGGGGCACCACCCUGCUGCACCACUGCCUGGUCCUGCCUUUCUGCUGGCGGUAGGAGUCGGGGACACCGAUUUUGUUUGCUAGAGCACUGCAGGAGCAGGGCCCCACACGGCCUCGCGGGAAAUUAAAUUUGGAAAUCAGGUACCAGCUUUGGCAAGGACCACAGCGGAGCCCCCGCAGAGCCCCGCUGACAGUCCAUGGAGCCCACGUCACAGCUAUUAACCUUUUGCCCCAAAACACAUGGAGGAGAGCUGCCAGAAACCCGGGAGAAUUUGCCUAAGUGACAGUCACCGCGGGAGACCAGCCCACCUUGCACAGCGAUUGCCAGAUGGAAAGGAGGAGUGAGGGAAAAGGGAAUAUUAAUGGAACAGGUAACCACCGUGAAUUAAUAGAUAUACAGGGCCCGGCGUUCAACAGAGAGCGUGUGUGAGGACCCCCGGAAAAACCUCAGUAGGUUCCUAAAAGGGGAAAUGGAGGGGCGCCUGGGGGCUCAGUCAGUUAAGCGUCGGACUCCUGAUUUCAGUUCAGCUCAUGAUGUCACAGUUCGUGAGUUCAAGCCCCGCGUCAGGCUCUGCGCAGACAGUCUGGAGCCUGCUUGGGGUUCUCUCUCUCUCUCCCUCUCCUUCUGCCCCUCCUCUGCUCUCUCUCUCUCUCUCUCUCUCUCUCUCUCUCUCUCUGUUUCAAAAUGAAUAAAUGAAUUUCUGAAAGGAGGGGGCACCGGUACAGGCCGUGCUCCCUGGCCCCGUGCAGGAACACAGAGUCAACAGCAGGUAAGGUCUCUCCAAGCGGACGCCCCGCGGACCGCACCCCACCGGCCCCACACGGCCCUGCUGCCUCGAGCGCAGGGCGAGGUCCUCUGUGUCCUGGAGGCUGAACGUGACAAAGCGUUCACAGACGCCCCACACGGGCGGCGCUCCGGUCCCGUCAGCUGCCACCGCCAGGGCCCCACGCGGCUCACACAGUCUUCUGAGCUGAAGAGGAAAUGCCACAUGAAACGUCACAUCACAGACCCUUGGUCAGUUUGGGGACGAGGGCGCUGAUGCCAAAAACCCCGACGUGGCCCAGGAGACCGUGGAUCGCCGCGACUCUGACCUGGGUGACAGGGCGUGAGACUACGUGUUCCUUUAAGAGGCCGGACACGCAAGAACACCCCAUCCAGAGCCAGGCCCCGGUCCCCCCUCCCCCCCACUGCCUGUGAGUGACACUUGUCACUGCGCAGCCUGGGUUCUCCUUGGGAACACGUGACUUCUAAACCACAGAGGAGCAGAACACGCUGUGGAUGCGGGGAGGGAACGCCAGGCGUCCGCAGCCCCAGCUGGACUCCACUGCCCACCGUCGCCUCCUCAAGGUCAGGGACAUGGAGGGACAGCCGGCCGGUGCCCACAGCCCAGGGCUCCUUCCACAGGACGCUUCAAGCACGUCCUCCCACAGCAAAGCAGACCCCGGUGCCCACCCUCCCGAGUCGGCCACCCCGCGUUGUCCAGAUGGGCCCCACCCCGUCAGCUGUCUGUCCCUCAGAUGCACACCUCCGCCCAGUCUCUGAAAGCUCUCCAGCAGACAGACGGUUAACUAACUAGAGUUCGGAAGUGUUUACGGUUCUCUGUUUCUUUCGAGGAAAGCUGUAGGCACGGCCCACCGUACUCAGCGGCAGAAGGGGGUGCACGCUGACGCCCGCGGCGUGAUGACCCUGAAACCCCACGCGCAGGGGAAGAAGCCAGGCGGGAAGGGCCCCCCGCCACGCGAUUCCACUCACGCGAAAUGUCCCGGGUGGGGGCGCCGGCGGAGACGGAGGGGGCUCAGGGCUGCGGGCCCGUCAGCCGAGUGCACCACGAGUGCCUUCUAACAGAAGCCACUCCGGAACGUUCCUCCUGCCGCUCCCCUAAGUCCCUGUCCCCACCCCCAGGGGCAAACCUGACUGGGCCCCGUCCCCAACUCCCCACGAGAACAAUCACACAGCAGAGGCCUGUGCACGCGCCUUCCGCGCAGGGUUUCUGACGUCACGGCACGUGCCAGAGGUUCACACGGGCGGUCUGAAAGCAAGCGGGCGGCUCAGUCUUCCAGAUACUUCCAACAAAACCACAAUAUCGUGAUGGAAUCCCCACCAUCGUCACCUUGAGAGAGACGGUUCUUUUUUUUUUUAAUUUUUUUUAACGUUUACUUAUUGUUGAGACACAGAGAGACAGAGCACGAGCAGGGCAGGGGCAGAGAGAGAGGGAGACACAGAAUCCGAAGCAGGCCCCAGGCUCCAAGCUGUCGGCACAGAGUCUGACGACGUGGGGCUCGAACUCACGAACCGCGAGAUCAGACCCGAGCCGGAGUCAGACGCUUAACCGACUGAGCCACCCAGGUGUCCCCCCCUCUUUUUUUUUUUUUUAAUGGGGAUUGUUUUAAUCCCUAUUUCCACAGUGAGUAUUCCUCGCUGUGAGAAAGUUAGUAUCCAGAGCCAAACUUCUGCUACGUCUCAAAGACUUAGCUCUAAGCACCUUUGUUCACCCAAGGACACUGGGGACAAAAGAAGUCUUGUUUUCGUA